rnacentral:rRNA from 1 species
AGAGUUUGAUCCUGGCUCAGAACGUACGCUGGCGGCACGCCUAACACAUGCAAGUCGAACGCAGUAGCAAUACUGAGUGGCAAACGGGUGAGUAUAAUGUGGGAAUCUGCCUUUUGGUUUGGAAUAACACGGGGAAACUUGUGCUAAUACCGAAUAAGCCCUCACGGGGAAAGUUUUAACGCCGAAAGAUGAGCCCGCACUUGAUUAGCUAGUUGGUAAGGUAAAAGCUUACCAAGGCAAUGAUCAAUAGCUGUUCUUAGAGGAAGACCAGCCACAUUGGGACUGAGACACGGCCCAGACUCCUACGGGAGGCAGCAGUGGGGAAUCUUGCACAAUGGGGGAAACCCUGAUGCAGCGAUGCCGCGUGAGUGAAGAAGGCCUUUGGGUUGUAAAACUCUUUCGUCGGGGAAGAAAAUGACUGUACCCGAAUAAGAAGGUCCGGCUAACUUCGUGCCAGCAGCCGCGGUAAUACGAAGGGACCUAGCGUAGUUCGGAAUUACUGGGCUUAAAGAGCUCGUAGGUGGUUAAAAAAGUUGAUGGUGAAAUCCCAAGGCUCAACCUUGGAACUGCCAUCAAAACUUUUUAGCUAGAGUGUGAUAGAGGUAAGUGGAAUUUCUAGUGUAGAGGUGAAAUUCGUAGAUAUUAGAAAGAACACCAAAUGCGAAGGCAACUUACUGGGUCACUACUGACACUGAGGAGCGAAAGCAUGGGUAGCGAAGAGGAUUAGAUACCCUCGUAGUCCAUGCCGUAAACGAUGUGUGCUAGACGUUGGAAA